UGUGCCGGAAGUUACGUAAUCCGUGUUGUGACUGUUACUCGUCCCUGUGGAAACAGUCUAAAUGGCCUAAGAUUCCUUUGCACUAUGGCUCCCCCUUCUGGUUCUACAAUGAGCAAAAACAAGCUCAUAUUACCAAGUGUGAAAUUAGAACAAGCAUCUACAGGCUGAGAACUGGAAAAGACCCUCCCCAUCAUGGCGGAUUUUUACAACCAGUGGUGGAGAGUAACUGCAAACUAUAGCAUCUUUCUACUCAUCUUACCAAAAAAAAAGUUCAAAGAAGGUGUUCUACAAGGUCGGUGUUUGAGGCGGCUCCUGCUUCAUUAUGAUGCAGUGAAGACUGGGUCAUGGUGGCAUUACUAUGAACCUCGGAGAAGCCAGGCCUAAAGUCUACACCCAUACUUUUCUGUUGUGAAAGAUAAUCUUUUUGUUGUUGUUGUUGUUAAGCUAGUUUUACCUGGGUUUCCUGACAUUUGCAAUCAAACGAGUCCUCAAGGAAACCCAGAAAAAAUUUUCAGAAAAAUAAUUCAAAUAAAGAAACAAGCUAGUGUUUACA
rnacentral:lncRNA from 13 species